rnacentral:rRNA from 1 species
AGUGAACGCUGGCGGUAGGCCUAACACAUGCAAGUCGAACGGCAGCACAGUAAGAGCUUGCUCUUACGGGUGGCGAGUGGCGGACGGGUGAGGAAUAAAUCGGAAUCUACUUUUUCGUGGGGGAUAACGUAGGGAAACUUACGCUAAUACCGCAUACGACCUACGGGUGAAAGCAGGGGAUCUUCGGACCUUUCGCGAUUGAAUGAGCCGAUUUCGGAUUAGCUAGUUGGCGGGGUAAAGGCCCACCAAGGCGACGAUCCGUAGCUGGUCUGAGAGGAUGAUCAGCCACACCGGAACUGAGACACGGUCCAGACUCCUACGGGAGGCAGCAGUGGGGAAUAUUGGACAAUGGGCGCAAGCCUGAUCCAGCCAUACCGCGUGGGUGAAGAAGGCCUUCGGGUUGUAAAGCCCUUUUGUUGGGAAAGAAAAGCAGCAGGUUAAUACCCCGCUGUUCUGACGGUACCCAAAGAAUAAGCACCGGCUAACUUCGUG